rnacentral:rRNA from 1 species
UACGGAGGGUGCAAGCGUUGUUCGGAAUCAUUGGGCGUAAAGCGCGUGUAGGCGGCUUGGCAAGUCGGUUGUGAAAGCCCGGGGCCCAACCCCGGAACUGCAUCCGAAACUGCCUGGCUAGAGUCCCGGAGAGGAAGGCAGAAUUCCCGGUGUAGGGGUGAGAUCCGUAGAUAUUGGGAGGAAUACCAGCGGCGAAGGCGGCCUUCUGGACGGUGACUGACGCUGAGACGCGAAAGCGUGGGGAGCGAACAGG